CCGGUUGAUCCUGCCAGAGGCUACUGCCAUCAGAGUUCGAUUAAGCCAUGUUAGUCGAGGGUGCUUCUUCUUCGGAAGAAGUAACCCGGCGGACGGCUCAGUAACACGUGGAUAACUUGCCCUUGGGUCCGGGAUAACCCCUGAGAAAUUGGGGACAAUACCGGAUAGGGCAUCGAUAGCUGGAAUGCGCGAUGUCCAAAAGCUGAGGCGCCCAAGGAUAGGUCUGCGGCUGAUUAGGUUGUUGUUGAUGUAAUGGAUCAACAAGCCUGCAAUCGGUACGGGUUGUGAGAGCAAGAGCCCGGAGAUGGGUUCUGAGAAAAGAACCCAGGUCCUACGGGACGCAUCAGGCGCGAAAACUUUACAAUGUGCGAAAGCACGAUAAGGGAACUCUGAGUGCCUCCUAUGGAGGCUGUUCAGGUGUCUAAAAAGCACUUGAAGUAAGGGCUGGGUAAGACCGGUGCCAGCCGCCGCGGUAACACCGGCAGCCCAAGUGGUAGCCACGAUUAUUGGGUCUAAAGCGUCCGUAGCCGGCCAGGUAAGUUCUUUGGGAAAUUUAACCGCUCAACGGUUAAGCUUUCAGAGAAUACUGCUUGGCUUGGGACCGGGAGAGGUCAGAGGUACUUCAAGGGUAGGGGUGAAAUCCGUUAAUCCUUGA
rnacentral:rRNA from 1 species